GUCGAACGAGUCGUCCCGCUUGCGGGCGGGGAGUAAAAGUGGCGAACGGCUGAGUAACGCGUGGGUAACCUGCCCUUGAUUCUGGUAUAACUUCGCGAAAGCGUUGCUAAUACCGGAUAUUGUCCUGAGAACUGUGGUUCUCGGGAUGAAAGGUGACCUAUCCAUGGAAGUUGCCGUUCAGGGAGGGGCCCGCGUACCAUUAGCUUGUUGGUGGGGUAACGGCCUACCAAGGCGACGAUGGUUAGCUGGUCUGAGAGGAUGAUCAGCCACACUGGAACUGAAACACGGUCCAGACUCCUACGGGAGGCAGCAGUGAGGAAUUUUGCGCAAUGGGGGAAACCCUGACGCAGCAACGCCGCGUGAGUGAAGAAGGCUUUCGGGUCGUAAAGCUCUGUCAAGGGGGAAAAACCCCUUUUGAUAAAUAGUCAAAAGGACUGAUGGUACCCCUAGAGGAAGCACCGGCUAACUCCGUGCCAGCAGCCGCGGUAAUACGGAGGGUGCAAGCGUUGUUCGGAAUUACUGGGCGUAAAGAGCGUGUAGGCGGUUUGGUAAGUCAGAUGUGAAAGCCUUCCGCUCAACGGAAGAAGUGCAUUUGAAACUGCCAUUCUAGAGUAUGGGAGAGGAGAGUGGAAUUCCCAGUGUAGAGGUGAAAUUCAUAGAUAUUGGGAGGAACACCCGUGGCGAAGGCGACUCUCUGGACCAAUACUGACGCUGAGACGCGAAAGCGUGGGGAGCAAACAGGAUUAGAUACCCUGGUAGUCCACGCCGUAAACGAUGAGAACUAGGUGUAAGCGGGUAUUGCCCCUGCUGUGCCGAAGCUAACGCAUUAAUUCUCCGCCUGGGG
rnacentral:rRNA from 1 species